GGAACAAAGCCAAUUGAACCUCCUUAAGCUUAGCGGAAAGCAAGAAUUGUCUGACUGGCUUUAAGAGUGCAAGGAAACUAUGGCCCCAGGAGGUCAAGUCCUUGCCGGAUGCAUCGCAGCUAGUAAAUGAGGGAAACGGAGAGGCCAGCCCAGAUAGUCUAAGGACAGGCUGCCGCUAUGCCACCUACUGCCUUCAAAAACACUGCGGGGAGUCCAUGAUGUCUUCUGAUUGCAGCACUUUCAGGGACAAGCGUGUACGUCUCCUUCCUGAAAUAAUGUUCCUCUCUGUUGUGAAUAGACUUUUCACACUUGUGUCAGUCAGAGCAUUUAGAUGCUUACCAGACCCGGGGCUGGAAGACACAGACUCAGCCAACCUUGGUGGCAGGUGUUGGGGAAAUCAAAUGAAAAACAAACAUCUCCUGCCAACUCGAAGAAAUCUCUGCCCAAGCAGAAGAGAAAGAGAAGAGUCUCCUCAUUGAAUAAAGCAUUAAAGCGAAAUAGGAUGUGCAUCAUAUCAAUCCACUGAGAGACUGAAAGGACAAAGAAAUUUCACCCUUUUGCACGGCUAAGCAGAAUCACUCUAUCACAUACCUGUUCUCAGAAUAACUAGUUUCAGAUGCUGAGUGAAUUUGCGUGCUGCACUAGACUAUGAAGCUGUGUCUAAGAACUGCCAGACAGGCAACUGGCUUUCAUGUACUUUCGAGUUCAGUCUUAACUCUUCUGUCUUCCCUCUUCACUGCACGGCCUUGGACUUGGACGUGUCUGAUGGGGAGGACCUCCCCCUCCCCCACCCCCUUAAGUCUGCUCUGCCCGACCUCAGCUUCUUUAACCGAAGGCUAGGUUGCUUGUGGCCUCCUUGCCUUAGCACGUGGUGAUACCUGACCCGGGGCCUCCUUCCUGUACGUUCCUGGUUGAGUCGCUCAACUAGCAAGACAGCUUGGCAUACCAUCUUUCUGGAAUGGUUCCCUGACCAGCCUGCCUGACCACUAACUUGCAUCUGACUUGGUCUCUCUUGGGCACACACAGACAUGGGUGCCUAGUCAUGUUUG